rnacentral:rRNA from 1 species
CCUACGGGGGGCUGCAGUAAGGAAUAUUGGUCAAUGGACGAAAGUCUGAACCAGCCAUGCCGCGUGGAGGAUGAAGGUCCUCUGGAUUGUAAACUUCUUUUAUAUGGGACGAAAAAAGGGUUUUCUAACUCACUUGACGGUACCAUAUGAAUAAGCACCGGCUAACUCCGUGCCAGCAGCCGCGGUAAUACGGAGGGUGCAAGCGUUAUCCGGAUUCACGGGGUUGAAAGUGGGUGUGUAAGUGUGUGGUGAAAUCCCCGAGCUUAACUCGGGAACUGCCAUUGAUACUAUCAGUCUUGAAUACCGUGGAGGUCAGCGGAAUAUGUCAUGUAGCGGUGAAAUGCUUAGAUAUGACAUAGAACACCAAUUGCGAAGGCAGCUGGCUACCCGAAUAUUGACACUGAGGCUCGAAAGCGUGGGGAUCAAACAGGAUUAGAUACCCUAGUAGUC